AUGUACCACGCGCACCCUGCGGUUGCUCCGCGCCGUCCGCGUCCGCACCACCUGACGACUGCUCGCUACGUUUUGUUACCC
rnacentral:sRNA from 1 species